AUUGAACGCUGGCGGCAGGCCUAACACAUGCAAGUCGAGCGAGCGGCGGACGGGUGAGUAAUGUGUGGGAAACUGCCUGAUGGAGGGGGGUAACUACUGGAAACGGUAGCUAAUACCGCAUACUAUCAGAUGUGCCCAUAUGGGAUUAGCUAGUAGGGGGGGUAACGGCUCACCUAGGCGACGAUCCCUAGCUGGUCUGAGAGGAUGACCAGCCACACUGGAACUGAGACACGGUCCAGACGCCUACGGGAGGCAGCAGUGGGGAAUAUUGCACAAUGGGCGCAAGCCUGAUGCAGCCAUGCCGCGUGUGUGAAGAAGGCCCUCGGGUUGUAAAGCACUUUCAGCUGGGAGGCGUUACCUGCAGAAGAAGCACCGGCUAACUCCGUGCCAGCAGCCGCGGUAAUAC
rnacentral:rRNA from 1 species